rnacentral:rRNA from 1 species
GAUGAACGCUGGCGGCGUGCCUAAUACAUGCAAGUCGAGCGAACGGACGAGAAGCUUGCUUCUCUGAUGUUAGCGGCGGACGGGUGAGUAACACGUGGAUAACCUACCUAUAAGACUGGGAUAACUUCGGGAAACCGGAGCUAAUACCGGAUGAUAUUUUGAACCGCAUGGUUCAAAAGUGAAAGACGGUCUUGCUGUCACUUAUAGAUGGAUCCGCGCUGCAUUAGCUAGUUGGUAAGGUAACGGCUUACCAAGGCAACGAUGCAUAGCCGAACUGAGAGGGGGAUCGGCCACACUGGAACUGGGACGCGGUCCAGACUCCUACGGGAGGCAGCAGUAGGGAAUCUUCCGCAGUGGGCGAAAGCCUGGCGGAGCAGCGCCGCGUGAGUUAUGAAGGUCUUCGGAUCGUAAAACUCUGUUAUUAGGGAAGAACAUAUGUGUAAGUAACUGUGCACAGCUUGACGGUACCUAAUCAGAAAGCCACGGCUAACUACGUG